rnacentral:misc_RNA from 1 species
GUGAGUCAUCGAAUCUUUGAACGCAUCUUGCGCUCCUUGGUAUUCCGAGGAGCAUGCCUGUUUGAGCGUCGUUGAAUUCUCAGAACCCUAUGAGGGCUGUGGUCUUUGCACUACUGUCCUUCAUGCGGGCUAUGGAUUGUGGAGGAUGCAAUGCCGUCCUACUCUCAGAGAGGGUGUGGCAUCUGCUUCUCUGAAAUGUACUGGCACUGCCAUCGGUAUGAUACACACGUCUAUACCGUGCAGCCAGGCGCAGAUUCUCUCAUGAUUUGACCUCAAAUCAGGCAGGACUACCCGCUGAACUUAAGCAUAUCAAUAAGCGGAGGA